AACCGGUUUGACACCCCUGAUCUACGCUAUCAACUUAAUUCAUAGGUCAAUUAUCUCUUCCAUAUUUGUAGGGUUGUAAGCAGUAGAAUUUCACACCCUGCAGAAAACGGUGUGAAAUGGAUAUUACUCAGAAGAAGAAAUGGUCGGGAAUGAUUUUUAUGUGAAACACUGAGCUCCGGAAGGCGGAUGAACGGCAUGUUUUAAUGACAUGCAGUUAAUGUACUGCAAACUAAUCUACACCAGAUCGCACUGACCACAAAGCUAUGGACCGUCGUGUCACACUGGGCUGACUACUGUGGACAAAAUGUGGUACUUCACUGCCAUAAUGUGAGCCAAGGAUGAAUGGUGAGUGGAGAUGCAGCCAACCAACGACGGGCGUAUUUCAGGUGUUUUGGAAGCUGGGCCCAGCAAGGAGUACCACGAAUCAGGCAGCCCCGGAUAUGCUACAUUCCAUUGUCCUUGAAUGCAAUAGGCCUAGGCUAUAGCUUCCUCCUACUGUCAACUUUCAAAUUAUUGGCGCUCAAGGUUUUCAUUUUCUGACUGGUGCUUGAUCAAUUAAACACAAGGUAAGAAUACAUAUCCCGUAGGCAGACCAUUUGUGUCUGGAGUGAAGGAGGCGGUCAACAGGAUGAACUCAUUAGGACGGAGUGUGGUUGACGAAGGCGUCCUGUAGCCCUCAUGUGGAGACUGUACCACCGAUGAGAUCCACACGCUGGAUUAAAAGCAUACGGUAUGACAAUCAUAAAUGCAUUAGGUUAAAAGUUAUGUCAGGCUCACCUGGACCAGGAACACAGUUUAAAUAUUAUCAGAGGUCUGAUAAGUUAAUGGCUAAUGGGUCGGAAAUUUCUAUUUCGGUCUCUGGCAUAUUGGGUUAGUAAAGGCACAUGGCACACGUCGAUCCACCAAAACAUCUGAUCAUUGCAUGGGCAGAAGCCAUAGCACAGCACGAACCGACAUUUCUGGUUUACACAAGAAAAUAAAACACACCGGUGGUUUUGCUUCUGCUUAUAAAAUCUUAAAUACAUCUCUUGUACAAUGUUUUAUAUAUGUUGUACAAAAAGAACGAGGCAGAUGCAAUUCGGUACAAGGGGUUUAAUCUGCUGUAAUUUGACUACACAGACUCAAAUACAUUUGUACGUUUUUUCUCAUGGUAGGCUACAGCCACUGUCACACUGUAUGGAGCGAAUGGAACGACCUUUCAAAUUUCACCAGAAAGAUCAUUUAUCGACCUAUGGAUGUUUUAGACAUAAAUCCAUCAGUGCCAAGUGUACGUGUGUUUGCAGAUUGUGUUAACGAUUGCUUCACAAUAUUUUGUCUGUACCCUUUUCCUUUGGUUUACCGAGUCAAAUUCAUGUACAUGCAAGUGUAUUUGAAAAAUAACGAUUACGUUGUGUGUGGUGUUGAAAUGUGUAGCCUACACAACCAUUUAUUUCAGAAAGACAUCAUGCUAAUCACAGUGACAUUUUGGAUGGUUAGCGAUGCGCUCAACUUGAAUUUUAGCAAGCAUAAUGCAACUCAGCCACCUCUUAACGGAGUGGACGAGACAUGCUCGACCUCAUACACCAACCCAUGUAUUAACCAUGCAGCUUUGGCAACAGACUACCAAUAAAUAUUAGUACGAUCAAGUUGUUUAACAUUCUUCAUGCCAGCGUUAUAGUUCAGAGCACCCGGGGAGUGGCCGAUGUGCCACGGCAAACUGCUGUUCUGAUCUGUUUGUACACAACACAUCUCAGUGCCUGGAUAGCUCUCAUUGGUGUUACAUCGGCAAUACUCCGCGAACCCCUGAGAUGCUUUGUUGUUAUUAUAAACCAACGUGAUUACAAGAGUAAAAAGUUAUUUUCAUAGCCGUGGUAUACGGUCUCAAACCAACCAGUUUGUAGUCAAGUAGAUAAUAGGCUACAACGUAAGUAACGGAUCAUAUUUAACAAAACUCAAAUUAUCCUGUUAGAGAACUGUCAGUGUGGUUUACAAAUAUAUUGGAUACUUAAUACAAUCAAGUAUGUUGAAGGAAUGCUGGCUUGAGGCCUAAGGCUCAAGCAUGUUCCAUGUAGCCAGGGAGUUUAAUAGCA